CGUGGUUCCUGAGUCAAGUUGGACAUGGCCUCUCGUUAACAGCGAGAAGGUCCGUGGUUCGAUCCCCGCGGAACCACGU
rnacentral:tRNA from 1 species